CCUUUUCCUCUGGCGGUCAGCCCGAGUCACUCAGCUGAUCCGUGGCUUUGGUAGUUCCUGGAAGGCGUCAGUGGAGUCCCUGAGUCAGGAUGUAAUGCGAAGUUUUACCAACUUCCGAAAUGGAACCAGCAUCAUUCAGGGGGCACUGACCCAGCUGAUCCAACUCUACCAUCGCUUCCACCGGGUGCUGUCCCAGCCCCAGCUCCGCGCACUCCCGGCCAGGGCUGAGCUCAUCAACAUCCAUCAUCUCAUGGUAGAGCUGAAGAAACACAAGCCGAACUUCUGAUUCAGACCCUCUCCCCCCUCCCCAGGACCCUAAACUCCAGUGGACUCUGUGUGUCACACAUUGUCACCUGGGAUCCCUUUCCCAUCCCUUUUAUCUCUAUGGCUCCCACAUUCCCCUCUCAGCCUCCAUUGCCAGGACUCUGCCUCAACAGNGUGCACCCAAGGCCACUCCCUGCUUCUGAGUGAGGUGACCUUCAUUUCCAGUUUGGUCAGCUCCUCUGCUGUUCACUCACAGCCUGUGAGCUUUCACUGCACCAGGCUCUGACUGACCCUCAGCUCUUAGGACAGAGCGGUGCAGGCCACCCUAUAGCUGAUCUGCAGGCUCUGCUGGAACAGUGACAUCACCUCGUGGUGGGUCUCACUCUGUGGCAAUAAUAAGUACUUACAGUGCUGGGACUGUGUCCUCUCCUUUGUCCCUGGGCCUUUGAAUUCUCCAGCAUGUNUUUAUUGUAGACCUAGUCAGUUCCUGGUGGGCAUCAGGAAGAGGGUGGGAUAGUACCCCGAGGUCUAUUGCUGCUUCUGGCCCAGGGGUGGCAUAGAUGCUCAGGAGGGGACUGUAGCUCUCCAGGAGGGUGGCACUUGCUGCAAGGCCUGGGAAUGGGCUAGCUUUGGGUGCUGUCCUGAGGGCUACCAUGGGAAUAAUCCACACAGACUCUGAGGUUGUCUGUGUCAGCCCCUAAGUGGCUGUCACAGCUCCUUUGAGGAUGGAGGGCCUGUAACACUUGCAGCCAUGCAUUGAGGCAGGGGUGGACCUGUCUCCAGAACAGAUUCUGUCAUUUUCAUGUGACUCAGACCCUUCCCGCUGCCCUCUGCCCCACCUCUGUAAGGAGUUUGCAGACUCCAGAGCAGUGGUUCUCAACCUUCCUAAUACUGUGAUGCUUUAACACAGUUCCUUGUGCUGACCCCAACCUUAAAGUUAUUUUCAUUGUUACUUCAUAA